CCUACGGGUGGCUGCAGUGAGGAAUAUUGGUCAAUGGGCGGAAGCCUGAACCAGCCAAGUAGCGUGCAGGAUGACGGCCCUACGGGUUGUAAACUGCUUUUAUACGGGAAUAACGCGCCUUACGUGUAGGGCUUUGCAUGUACCGUAUGAAUAAGGACCGGCUAAUUCCGUGCCAGCAGCCGCGGUAAUACGGAAGGUCCGGGCGUUCUCCGGAUGUAUUGGGGUUAAAGGGAGCGUAGGCCGCAUGUUAAGCGUGCGGUGAAAUGUCCGGGCUCAACCCGGGGCUUGCCGCGCGACCUGGGGGGCUGGAGUGUGCGAGAAGCAGGCGGAAGUCGUGGUGUAGCGGUGAAAUGCUUAGAUAUGACGCAGAACCCCGAUUGCGAAGGCAGCUUGCUGCAGCGGAACUGACGCUGAUGCACGAAAGCGCGGGUAUCGAACAGGAUUAGAUACCCUAGUAGUC
rnacentral:rRNA from 1 species